AGCGAACGCUGGCGGUAGGCCUAACACAUGCAAGUCGAACGGCAGCACAGUAAGAGCUUGCUCUUACGGGUGGCGAGUGGCGGACGGGUGAGGAAUACAUCGGAAUCUACUUUUUCGUGGGGGAUAACGUAGGGAAACUUACGCUAAUACCGCAUACGACCUACGGGUGAAAGCAGGGGAUCUUCGGACCUUGCGCGAUUGAAUGAGCCGAUGUCGGCUUAGCUAGUUGGCGGGGUAAAGGCCCACCAAGGCGACGAUCCGUAGCUGGUCUGAGAGGAUGAUCAGCCACACUGGAACUGAGACACGGUCCAGACUCCUACGGGAGGCAGCAGUGGGGAAUAUUGGACAAUGGGCGCAAGCCUGAUCCAGCAAUACCGCGUGGGUGAAGAAGGCCUUCGGGUUGUAAAGCCCUUUUGUUGGGAAAGAAAAGCAGCAGGUUAAUACCCCGCUGUUAUGACGGUACCCAAAGAAUAAGCACCGGCUAACUUCGUG
rnacentral:rRNA from 1 species